UACGGAGGGGGCUAGCGUUGUUCGGAAUUACUGGGCGUAAAGCGCGCGUAGGCGGCUUUGUAAGUUAGAGGUGAAAGCCCAGGGCUUAACCCUGGAAUUGCCUUUAAGACUGCAGCGCUAGAAUCGUGGAGAGGUGAGUGGAAUUCCGAGUGUAGAGGUGAAAUUCGUAGAUAUUCGGAAGAACACCAGUGGCGAAGGCGACUCACUGGACACGUAUUGACGCUGAGGUGCGAAAGCGUGGGGAGCGAACAGG
rnacentral:rRNA from 1 species